GGACUACCCCAGCUUGUUCUGAGCGAGGGGCAGGAAUACACUCAAAGUGUAUUCCUGCCUCUAACUCACAACCGUGGCCGAUUUAGUAUCUCCGAUUAACCUGUAUGCAUGUUUUUGGGAUUGGGGAAACCUAGGUGGACACGGGGAGAACAUGCAAACUCCGCACAGAGCCGAGAUUCGAUAUCACGACCUUCGAACUGUGAGGCGACAGCGCUACCCACUGAGCCACCGUGCCACCGAUUACAAUGCUUGCUUGGUAAACUAUCAAGGAUGAUCAACGAUGACGUGCCCUUAGCCUCAUAGCUCCAGGCUAGCUCCCGUAAUUAGUACUGCUCGGUUCUUCCCGGUUUAGCAAUGGCGACCUUCUACACCCGCUGUCAAUAGGAGCUCCCAAAUAUAAACAUCACUCGCGUUCAUAGGAUUUUCACAACGACUAAACACUCAACCGGCAAAUUGGAGAAAGGCUAUUCAUUACAUGCCAUGUGUAUUUUUGCAACUACCAAGCAAUCCGCCAGGCCGUCUCCAGAUCUCUUGUGGCACGCUACCAGAAAUGUUUACACAAGAGGCAUGGAAUGUUG